CAAGUCGAGCGAGAACCAGGGCUUCGGCCCCGGGGACAGCGGCGAACGGGUGAGUAACACGUGGAUAACCUGCCCUCGGCACCGGGAUAGCCCGGGGAAACCCGGAUUAAUACCGGAUGGCCCUUCCGGCUCACGAGCCGGUCGGAAAAGGUAGCUUCGGCCUCCGGCCGAGGAUGGGUCCGCGGCGGAUUAGCUUGUUGGUGGGGUAACGGCCUACCAAGGCUCCGAUCCGUAGCUGGUCUGAGAGGACGAUCAGCCACACUGGGACUGAGACACGGCCCAGACUCCUACGGGAGGCAGCAGUGGGGAAUCUUGCACAAUGGGCGAAGGCCUGAUGCAGCGACGCCGCGUGAGGGAGGAAGGCCUUCGGGUUGUAAACCUCUUUCAGGAGGGACGAAGCUACUCGGGUUAACAGCCCAGAGGGUGACGGUACCUCCAGAAGAAGCCCCGGCUAACUACGUGCCAGCAGCCGCGGUAAUACGUAGGGGGCAAGCGUUGUCCGGAUUUACUGGGCGUAAAGAGCGUGUAGGCGGCCAAACAGGUCCGUUGUGAAAACUGGAGGCUCAACCUCCAGACGUCGACGGAAACCGUGUGGCUAGAGUCCGGUAGAGGAGAGUGGAAUUCCUGGUGUAGCGGUGAAAUGCGCAGAUAUCAGGAAGAACACCAAUGGCGAAGGCAGCUCUCUGGGACGGUACUGACGCUGAGACGCGAAAGCGUGGGGAGCGAACAGGAUUAGAUACCCUGGUAGUCCACGCCGUAAACGAUGGGUGCUAGGUGUGGGAGGUGUCGACUCCUUCCGUGCCGUAGCUAACGCAUUAAGCACCCCGCCUGGGGAGUACGGCCGCAAGGCUAAAACUCAAAGGAAUUGACGGGGCCCCGCACAAGCAGCGGA
rnacentral:rRNA from 1 species